GAAAUGUGAGCUUAUGAAACGUGACUGGUGUCCAGACACGCAACUUUCACAUUGUGUGAGCAUUGGACCUGUAAAUUACAUACAAGCAUAGAGUACGGCGAAAACAGUUUUGAAGUGACUGGGAGAGACACUAUUCUCAUCUUAUGUUUGGACCAGGAACAAAGUGCUGAUUUAGUGGGCUUUCAGCUGACAGGUGAGUUCACAGUUGUAUUACAGUCUUGCACACACCAACUGUAAUGGAUACAGGAGUUCUGGUUUCAGGCUUUGGACUCAAACCUAUUUUGCCCACUGUUCAUCCCUUCUCCUAAAAGAAACUGUAGCAGAACACCAGCCUUUCCUUCCUGCACUACUCGGCUAGUUCCAAGGAUCUUCCAGAGAGAGUUUCCACAGAUGUUUCCCCACAAAUUUUAGCCAGACACUUGAUAAAGUGAGGAACAACAAUGAAUACCUUGUUUAGUCUCACGUUGGGUUUUUAUCCAUUUCUUUGUGUGGUAAACAGAAAACUGCCAAUAGCAGUAUGGACGUGAAAUUGCAACCAGUCACACUACAAAGCUUAAUUACAAACCAUGUGAAUGGAGCACUGUGAUUACAAGGAAGGAUGGGGACAGAUAAUAACAAGGACUGUAGACCACAUGGUAGACUUCCCGGGGUGGCUGGUCUGGAAGUGUCUCUGGAGCAUUGGUACAAGCCCCAAUGAAAAAACAAGAAGACUGAGAGGAGGGGGAAAUACAUUAAAUUUAAUUAUAACUACACUAUAUAGAAAAUACCCACCAUUUUAAACCAGAUGAUAAGCAAUUGAAAGGUAGGGAAUUGUCCCCACCCUCCCCUCCAAAUGGCAGACUAACUGGGCACAAGACCUCAAAUUGGUCUGUGUUCUAGUUAGUCGGAAAGCUAGCCACAAAUGGUUCAUCCACUUUCCCACUCCUUAGAAAGCUUGGAGGUGAUAAAGGUAUACCAAUUGUUUAAACAUACUGCAGUAGUGAGGAGCCUAUGUACUGUGGUUCCAGGCACCACAGACUGCCGCUGGGGAGAGAUGCCGGCUGCACCAUCUCCGUAGACCUCUGUCAGCCCAUGCUUAAAUGCCAACUGCAUCUUAACCAGUUUCCAAAGUCAUGAUGCACUGGCACCACCUACCCCC